AUACCCGCUGAACUUAAGCAUAUCAAUAAGCGGAGGAAAAGAANCCAACAGGGAUUGCCUCAGUAACGGCGAGUGAAGCGGCAAUAGCUCAAAUUUGAAAUCUGGUCCUUUCAGGUCCCGAAUUGUAAUUUGUAGAGGAUGUUUCGGCUCACGCCCCGGUCUAAGUUCCUUGGAACAGGACGUCACAGAGGGUGAGAACCCCGUUUGUGGCCGGCGGCUUACGCCAUGUGAAACUCCUUCGACGAGUCGAGUUGUUUGGGAAUGCAGCUCUAAAUGGGAGGUAAAUUUCUUCUAAAGCUAAAUACUGGCCAGAGACCGAUAGCGCACAAGUAGAGUGAUCGAAAGAUGAAAAGCACUUUGGAAAGAGAGUUAAAAAGUACGUGAAAUUGUUGAAAGGGAAGCGCUUGCGACCAGACUUGCCCGCGGAUGCUCAGCCGGUCCUUCGGCCGGUGUACUCUUCCGCGGUCAGGCCAGCAUCAGUUCGGGCGGUCGGAUAAAGGCCUUGGGAAUGUAACUCACCUCGGUGAGUGUUAUAGCCCUCGGUACAAUACGGCCCGCCUGGACUGAGGAACGCGCUUCGGCUAGGAUGCUGGCGUAAUGGUCGUAAGCGGCCCGUCUUG
rnacentral:rRNA from 2 species